rnacentral:tRNA from 1 species
UUUAAUAUGGCAGAUUAGUGCAAUGAAUUUAAAUUUCAUUUAUAAAGUAAUUUCUUUUAUUAAAA